UACGUAGGGUGCAAGCGUUGUCCGGAAUUAUUGGGCGUAAAGAGCUCGUAGGCGGUUUGUCGCGUCCGCUGUGAAAAUCCAGGGCUUAACCCUGGACCUGCAGUGGGUACGGGCAGACUAGAGUGCGGUAGGGGAGAUCGGAAUUCCUGGUGUAGCGGUGAAAUGCGCAGAUAUCAGGAGGAACACCGAUGGCGAAGGCAGGUCACUGGGCCGCAACUGACGCUGAGGAGCGAAAGCAUGGGGAGCGAACAGG
rnacentral:rRNA from 1 species